GGAGAGAGUUCAAUGCAAAGAACUCCAUUCUUCCCUUCUCCCAGGGUGAGGAUAACACCAUAAAUGUGCUUUCCAGAGGCACAUUUUUAGCACUGUCUCUGGAUAAGUUUAAUUAGAGAGAAGAGACUAUCAUGAAAAACUUUUAUUCAGUGACCUAGAACCAAAGAAAAUGAGAAUGACCAGAAAAGGGACAGUUGGUAUUCAGUUAUUUGAUUCUUGUUCUUGUUGGCUUUUUGGAUCCUCUCCUCUGUCGACUUUUCCAUGGAUGCACUUUUACAUGCUGCAGAACUGAGUUUCCACCUAUUUUCUGUAACCAUCUUAUGUAAACGCAGUUUCAGCCAGAAGCAAAGAAAAAGUCAUAAGAUCAGCAAGAAGAGAAACUGUAGAUUUGCCUCAACUCAACAUGUUAAGUAAUCGCCUGACAUCUACAUAAGACCACCUCUUGGCACCUGGCUACACAAGCUGAAAUGGUUGUCUUUGGAAAAAGAAUAGACAUUCAUGGCAGACCAAAGAUCACUCUCUGAAGGUGUUAUGUGAGAAAUCCACACAGGAGAAACCCAAGAAAACCACGCAGGUAAAUGCUAGCCUGGAAAGACAGAGGGAAAACAUGCCAAGUGGAGCCCACCACAAGGACAGCAGUCAGAGCCCAAGAGCCCAGCUUUAAAAGGGCUGCAUACCAAAAGGAACAAAAGCACAAAACAAACAAACAAACAAACAAACAAGCAAAUGAUGGUGGAAACUAUUUUCAAAACUUCCCUGUUCUGGUAAAGACGUUUUCAGAGCUCAAACUAGUCCUGCUGAAAAUAUUUUUUAAAAUAUGAAAGCAUAGCGGAAAAUUUGUAUGAAAAAGAAAAAAGAAAAAGAAGGAGGAGGAAGAAGAAGAAGAAAGAAGAAAAAGGAGAGGAAGAAGAAGAAGGAGGAGGAGGAGAAGAAGAGGAGGAGGAGGAGGAGGAAAUGGCAGAGACAAUGUAUGUCCCAGAAAGCCUAAAAUGUGUACUGUUUGUCCGUUUAUAGAAAAAGUGUGCCAGUCCCUACUCUGUUCCCAAUUUUAAAAACAAAUAAAUAAAAAGAAAAACAAGCAAGUCUCUCAGCCAAGAAAGAAUCGAUGGGAACUUUUUCAACUUUAUAAAGUGGAUCUACAAAAAACUACAACUAACACUAACGUCACACCUAAUGGUGAAAGUCUGAAUGUUUUCCCUCUAAGACUAGGAAAAGGUGGCAUGGAUGUCCACUCUCCCUACUCUAUUCAGCAUUGUAUCAAAAGUUCUUAUCAGUGAAAUAAGACAAGAAAACAAUAAAUGGCAUCCAUAUUGGAAAAGAAGUAACACUGUCUUUAUUUGCAGAUGACAUUAUAAUCUAAAUAGAAAAUCUUAUGGAAUCUGCUAAAAAGCUAAUAGAACCAAUAAGCGAGUUUAGCAUAGUUACAAGACACAACAUAUAAAAAUUAAUUAUAUUUCAAAAUACUAGCAAUGAACAAUUAAAUUUUCCUUUUAAAAUUUUCAACAACAUCAAGACAUGAACCACUGGGGGAUAAACCCCAUGAAACAUGGCAGAAAAAAAUUCAGGAA
rnacentral:lncRNA from 10 species